AUUGAACGCUGGCGGCAGGCCUAACACAUGCAAGUCGAGCGAGCGGCGGACGGGGGUGUAAUAUCUGGGAAACUGCCUGAUGGAGGGGGAUAAAUACUGGAAACAGUGGCUAAUACAGCAUACCAUCAGAUGUGCGCAGAUAGGAUUAGCUAUGGGGUGGGGUAACGGCUCACCUAGGGGACGAUCCCUAGCUGGUCUGAGAGGAUGACCAGCCACACUGGAACUGAGACACGGCCCAGACUCCUACGGGAGGCAGCAGUGGGGAAUAUUGCACAAUGGGCGCAAGCCUGAUGCAGCCAUGCCGCGUGUGUGAAGAAGGCCUUCGGGUUGUAAAGCACUUUCAGCGGGGAGGCGUUACCCGCAGAAGAAGCACCGGCUAACUCCGUGCCAGCAGCCGCGGUAAUUC
rnacentral:rRNA from 1 species